rnacentral:lncRNA from 1 species
GCUGGGGGCCCGGGCCACUGGCCUGCCAGACUGCCCCACACCUGCCACCCUCUGAUGGACUGGGAAACUGAGGCCCGCAAAGAUCAAGUCCUCGCCAAGAGUUACAUACGUGGACAGAGUCCUGGAACCCCAGCUCCGCUGCAGAGGAGAGGAGGCUGCAGCCCACAACCUCGGGGUCUGGAGUUUUCUGCGAGCUGGGAGGCAGCAUUGCUGGAGAGUCUUUACUCUCCGGUGAGAAGAGGCUGGCCGAGAACGCGCCCAGACCUGCCUCCGCCCCCAGAGCCCCGGGCCGCUGAGGGCCUGCGCCUUUAAGUGCUGGCGGCAGGGGGCGGGGUCUUGUCGGCCCCGCCCUGCCCGCCCCUCCCC